AAGCCAUGAUGUGGACAUCUCCUUAGAAGUUCUCAAAAGUGCUCCCAUGUCUCAAACAGAGAUUCAGACUCAUUAUUGAAAAUUGGAGAACUCUGUCAUCAGCUU